rnacentral:rRNA from 1 species
GACGAACGCUGGCGGCGUGCCUAAUACAUGCAAGUCGAACGCAGUUGGGACGGGUGAGUAACACGUGGGUAACCUCCCAUCAGAGGGGAUAACACUUGGAAACCGGUGCUAAACCGAUACUGAUGGAUGGACCCGCGGUGCAUUAGCUAGUUGGUGGGGUAACGGCUCACCAAGGCCACGAUGCAUAGCUGACCUGAGAGGUUGAUCGGCCACACUGGGACUGAGACACGGCCCAGACUCCUACGGGAGGCAGCAGUGGGGAAUAUUGGGCAAUGGACGAAAGUCUGAGCGAGCAACGCCGCGUGAGUGAAGAAGGUUUUCGGAUCGUAAAACUCUGUUGUUAGAGAAGCGGUAUCUAAACAGAAAGCCACGGCUAACUACGUGCCAGCAGCCGCGGUAAUAC